AAAUUUGGACGACCCUAGAGUGAAGCGAAGAAGCUUCGAGUCUGCACAUCACGAUUCGCCGCCGCGCCGCUCCACCCUUCCGCCACCGUCACAUACGGGUUCCUCAAGCACAUAAGGAUUGUCAUUGGAUAGUUGAUUCGAAGCUAGAAGUUGAGAAUCAAGUUGGUGUUAGUGUCGAGCUUCGAUGAUAGCUUAAAGACGCUCCUUUCUUCUUCUCCUUUCUUGGAUCACUUCAACUAUGAGCACUUCCAUGAUCCCUUGUUGGUUUCCUGAUUUGUUCUAUAUCCGAACUAGAAGAUGGCUGUUGAUGCUAGUGAAGAGUUGUAGAAUAUAUGCUCGAAACAAAAACUAUUGGAAACAAAAGGUUGUCUUAGAAGAUAAAGCAUAUAUGGCUUGGUUUGUUGUGGUUGUAUAAUAGCUUUAGCUACCGGUUUCUUCUUUUGCCAAUUUUGUGUGGAUAAUGGUGAAUUUAUUCUUAAAAAAAUGUCAUCAAAUAACAUGAAAAGCCGAAAAUGGUUAAAACUUGAAAGGUUUGUAAGCAUUGAUUGGGUUAGUUCAAACUCUUGACAUAUUCUGCCUUAAAAUAAAAACAAAAAUGAAUUGCCCUUCUUAACUUCUUUGACUUAUG